UACGAGGGGGGCAAAUGUUGUUCGGAAUCACUGGGCGUAAAGGGAGCGUAGGCGGGCUUCUAAGUUAGGUGUUUAAUCCCAGGGCCCAACCCUGGUCAGGCACCUAAAACUGGGAGUCUUGAGUAGUGGAGAGGACGAUGGAAUUGGGGGUGUAGCGGUGGAAUGCGUAGAGAUCCCCAAGAACACCAGUUGCGAAGGCGGUCGUCUGGACACAUAUUGACGCUGAGGCUCGAAAGCAUGGGGAGCAAACAGG
rnacentral:rRNA from 1 species